UGCAAGUCGAACGAUGGCUUCGGCCAUAGUGGCGCACGGGUGCGUAACGCGUGGGAAUCUGCCCUGGGGUACGGAAUAACUCAGAGAAAUUUGAGCUAAUACCGUAUGAUGACGUAAGUCCAAAGAUUUAUCGCCCUGGGAUGAGCCCGCGUAGGAUUAGCUUGUUGGUGAGGUAAAGGCUCACCAAGGCGACGAUCCUUAGCUGGUCUGAGAGGAUGAUCAGCCACACUGGGACUGAGACACGGCCCAGACUCCUACGGGAGGCAGCAGUGGGGAAUAUUGGACAAUGGGCGAAAGCCUGAUCCAGCAAUGCCGCGUGAGUGAUGAAGGCCUUAGGGUUGUAAAGCUCUUUUACCCGGGAAGAUAAUGACUGUACCGGGAGAAUAAGCUCCGGCUAACUCCGUGCCAGCAGCCGCGGUAAUACGGAGGGAGCUAGCGUUGUUCGGAAUUACUGGGCGUAAAGCGCACGUAGGCGGCUUUGUAAGUUAGAGGUGAAAGCCUGGGGCUCAACUCCAGAAUUGCCUUUAAGACUGCAUCGCUUGAAUCAUGGAGAGGCGGGUGGAAUUCCGAGUGUAGAGGUGAAAUUCGUAGAUAUUCGGAAGAACACC
rnacentral:rRNA from 1 species